rnacentral:rRNA from 1 species
UACGUAGGAUGCAAGCGUUGUCCGGAAUUAUUGGGCGUAAAGAGCGCGCAGGCGGUUUGACAAGUCAGAUGUGAAAGAGGCCGGCUUAACCGGCAAGGGUCAUUUGAAACUGUCAGACUAGAGUACAGCAGAGGAUAGCGGAAUUCCCGGUGUAGUGGUGAAAUGCGUAGAUAUCGGGAGGAACACCAGUGGCGAAGGCGGCUAUCUGGCUGAUACUGACGCUGAGGCGCGAAAGCCAGGGGAGCGAACGGG